GUGGGGAAUAUUGCACAAUGGGCGAAAGCCUGACGCAGCAACGCCGCGUGAGUGAUGAAGGCCUUCGGGUUGUAAAGCUCUGUCUUCUGGGACGAUAAUGACGGUACCAGAGGAGGAAGCCACGGCUAACUACGUGCCAGCAGCCGCGGUAAUACGUAGGUGGCAAGCGUUGUCCGGGUUUACUGGGCGUAAAGGAUGCGUAGGCGGAUACUUAAGUCAGAUGUGAAAAUCCCGGGCUUAACUUGGGAACUGCAUUUGAAACUGGGUAUCUAGAGUGCGGGAGAGGAAAGUGGAAUUCCUAGUGUAGCAGUGAAAUGCGUAGAGAUUAGGAAGAACACCAGUGGCGAAGGCGACUUUCUGGACCGUAACUGACGCUGAGGCAUGAAAGCGUGGGGAGCAAAC
rnacentral:rRNA from 1 species